rnacentral:rRNA from 1 species
CCUGCGGGGGGCAGCAGUGGGGAAUAUUGGACAAUGGGCGAAAGCCUGAUCCAGCCAUGCCGCGUGUGUGAAGAAGGCCUUCGGGUUGUAAAGCACUUUCAGUGGGGAAGAAAGCCUUGGGGCUAAUACCCUCGAGGAAGGACAUCACCCACAGAAGAAGCACCGGCUAACUCCGUGCCAGCAGCCGCGGUAAUACGGAGGGUGCGAGCGUUAAUCGGAAUUACUGGGCGUAAAGCGCGCGUAGGCGGUCUGAUAAGCCGGUUGUGAAAGCCCCGGGCUCAACCUGGGAACGGCAUCCGGAACUGUCAGGCUAGAGUGCAGGAGAGGAAGGUAGAAUUCCCGGUGUAGCGGUGAAAUGCGUAGAGAUCGGGAGGAAUACCAGUGGCGAAGGCGGCCUUCUGGACUGACACUGACGCUGAGGUGCGAAAGCGUGGGUAGCAAACAGGAUUAGAUACCCUAGUAGUC